rnacentral:misc_RNA from 1 species
GAUGAAGAACGUAGCGAAAUGCGAUACGUAAUGUGAAUUGCAAAUUCAGUGAAUCAUCGAGUCUUUGAACGCACAUUGCGCCCCCUGGUAUUCCGGGGGGCAUGCCUGUCCGAGCGUCAUUGCUGCCCUCAAGCACGGCUUGUGUGUUGGGCCCCGUCCUCCGAUCCCGGGGGACGGGCCCGAAAGGCAGCGGCGGCACCGCGUCCGGUCCUCGAGCGUAUGGGGCUUUGUCACCCGCUCCGUAGGCCCGGCCGGCGCUUGCCGAUCAACCCACAUUUUUAUCCAGGUUGACCUCGGAUCAGGUAGGGAUACCCGCUGAACUUAAGCAUAUCAAUAAGCGGAGGA